rnacentral:lncRNA from 1 species
UCGAUUUAUAUUCUAUCGAAUUUAUUCCCCUUCUUUCAAAUGCAAAGAAUAAAUCAUCUACAAUCACAUAAUAAUUGGCCAAAUAAUUAUGGAAACAUUCAAAUCAUAUAAAUCAAACAUUUGUCCAAUCGAAACUAAUGUUGAAUUUAUGAAAUAACGGAAAUUUAAAUCAUCAAAAAGUUCAUCAAAUUCCUAAUGAACAAAAACCCUAGCCUAUAAUCAUCAUUGCAAAAUCAAGAAAUUGAAAAAACGAAAUUAAAAGAUAAUAAGAAUACACCCGUAUGGAAUUUCUUCAAUCCGUGUGUAUAAUCUUCAAUCCGUCUCGAGCCCGUGUGAAAUUGAAUCCAAAAUCAAGUUUCUUGCCUCCAAUUUUGGUCUCUUCCUUCUCCCUGGUC